GACAGAGGGUGCAAACGUUGUUCGGAAUUACUGGGCGUAAAGCGCGUGUAGGCGGCUUGGCAAGUCGGAUGUGAAAGCCCUCGGCUUAACUGAGGAAGUGCACCCGAAACUGAGUAGCUAGAGUACUAAAGAGGGUCGCGGAAUUCCCGGUGUAGAGGUGAAAUUCGUAGAUAUCGGGAGGAACACCGGUGGCGAAGGCGGCGACCUGGGUAGAUACUGACGCUGAGGCGCGAAAGCGUGGGGAGCAAACAGG
rnacentral:rRNA from 1 species